AUCUUAUAGCUUAACUAUAAAAUUGCCGUUGAUACUGCUUGACUUGAAUAGUAUGGAAGUAAUUAGAAUAUGUAGUGUAGCGGUGAAAUGCUUAGAUAUUACAUGGAAUACCAAUUGCGAAGGCAGAUUACUACGUACUUAUUGACGCUGAUGAACGAAAGCGUGGGUAGCGAACAGGAUUAGAUACCCUGGUAGUCCACGCCGUAAACGAUGGAUACUAGCUGUUCGGUUUUCGGACUGAGUGGCUAAGCGAAAGUGAUAAGUAUCCCACCUGGGGAGUACGUUCGCAAGAAUGAAACUCAAAGGAAUUGACGGGGGCCCGCACAAGCGGUGGAGCAUGUGGUUUAAUUCGAUGAUACGCGAGGAACCUUACCAAGGCUUAAAUGUAGAUUGACAGGUUUAGAGAUAGACUUUUCUUCGGACAAUUUACAAGGUGCUGCAUGGUUGUCGUCAGCUCGUGCCGUGAGGUGUCAGGUUAAGUCCUAUAACGAGCGCAACCCCUAUUGUUAGUUGCCAGCGGGUCAAGUCGGGAACUCUAACAAGACUGCCGGUGCAAACCGUGAGGAAGGUGGGGAUGACGUCAAAUCAUCACGGCCCUUACGUCUUGGGCUACACACGUGCUACAAUGGCCAGUACAGAAAGCAGCUACCAGGCAACUGGAUGCGAAUCUCAAAAACUGGUCUCAGUUCGGAUUGGAGUCUGCAACUCGACUCCAUGAAGCUGGAAUCGCUAGUAAUC
rnacentral:rRNA from 1 species